UUUCCCAAGACCGGGGUUUGGUUGCAUUCCUACCUGAUGCGAGUUUUCCACUUGUGAUGUGGGGUUGAUAACACCUUCCCUGACAAUCCAUAGAGAUAGAUGCAAGGACCAAACGAGGAACCCAGAAACGCUUUGUCAGCUAUGCAGUGCUGUCCACGUGCAGAGAACCGAAAUUAUGAUUUUUUUUCCAGGUGCCUCUUUGUCCUCAAGGGUCAAGGAUUAGUCAAGAACCGAACUAGAUUUAGCCGGGCAGCAAUCUCUCCCAGUGCCGAACACCUAGUGCGGACCAGGCACUUCAUCUGCCUGUCUCUGGUCUUCCAGACUACCCUGUGAAGUAUUAUCCACGGCAGCCAGGAGACCUAGAAGUACGCACAGAUAAGACCUGGUUUACUGAUAGCACAUUACAAAGCGUACCAAGUAAUCGUGCAUCCAGACUCUCCCGCCCUACAAAUCAUACAACCCGAUUUCACAGAAGAGAGAACUGAGGUUCAGAGAUGGGAAAAGUCUGCCUCAGGGGCUCCCGGCUAGGAAGCAACAGGGUGAGGACUAGUGUGCGGGCAUUUCUGACUCCAAAGCCAGGGUGUCUUGUCCCCGCCCCAAUCUGCUGUCAGGUAAAAGAUGGCAGGACUUGCCGAGGGAGCUGAAGGGUGACGGCUGGAGGGGCUGAUCCCCAAUGAUGAGCGAGGUAACAGUUCCCACAGUGGCUAAACAAAGAGCCCUUGCAGUCCGGCUGCCUGGGUUCGAGUCUUGUUCUGUCCCUUCUUAGUUCUGUGCCCUCAGGCAAGGCACUGGUCCUCCCUGAGCCUCAGUUUCCUCGUCUGUAAAAUGGGGAUGGUAAUAAUGUUGCCCACCUCGCUGUGUUGUUGGAGGGUUAAAUUAGAAGCGUGUGGCACACAGCAAGCACAGUGAAAGUCUUGCCUCUUAUUUGCUGGCACCUUGUAUGACAUUUGGUAGAGGCCUCCUGUCUCGUCUACUAUUAAUACUGCCUUUAUAGCACUGCGUGUUCCGGAGCCUGGCCACCUGGGCUCUGCCACUUGCUAGCUGUGUGGUCUAGAGCUUAGAGGGAGACUGAAGGUCAGGCUCAUGAAGUUUAAGCCUUGGGUCGCUCCCUUGCGAGGCCUUGUGCAUCAUUUUGUAUUCAUAAUUUCCUAUUAUUUUUCUUACCGGGGUUCCCCAGUGUGGUAUACGCUCUACUCACAUCCUGCAAAGUGUGGAUCCGCCCCUGUGUGCGCAACACGCUCGGCCUCUCCGGUGCCUCAGUUUUCUCAUCUGUUAAGUGGAAAGAGUGUUACAGUGCUGAUGAAGUGAAUGAAUACGUUUAGGACGCUUGACAAGUGCCUGGCACGUUGUUAAGUCCCCGAUAGCUGUCGGCUUCUCAAGUGAAUCUCCAGCUAGUGAAUGUGCUAAAUGCUAGUAAAUGUGCUUCGUGGUUUACAUUGGUCAUGUUAUUUAAUUAUGCUUAAUUGUCACAACAACCCCUCCCAUUUUACAGGUGAGAAAACAGAGGCUCGGAGAGGUGAGGUCACAGAGCUUGGAAGCCACACGGGUCUGAUGCCAGGGCCAUGCCCCUUAACUAUUGCCCUGAUACCUCCCUGUUUAUGAGGGGCGCCUGGCAGCUGAACCUGAAAGGACUUGGGUCACACCGCAGCCAGGCACUGCCUGCCAGGUCACUUGCAGGGAAUCCACGAGGCCCCUGCCGGGAAGAGCUCCCCGUCCCCCCCAAGUCCAGCUGGGCCCCCCUGGCUCUGCCACACCUAGUGCCCUCGUCCCUCCUGCCCCCUAGAGCUUCCUCUUGAGCCCCUGUCACCAGAGGCCCUGGCCCAGGUGGGGCGGGGGCCAACGGGUGACAAUGACCGAUUUAGAAAGUAAAGUUGCUUCUCAAACAAAUAAGAAAGAAGAGGAAAGAAAGAAAUGGCCUGCCCGCUUCCUGCCCCACUCUCUCUCCCAGCACCUGGGGCCCAGCUGUGAGCUUUUCACUGCUUGUUUGUUCAUCCUGCUCGAGGAGCCUCUUCUUAAAGCUCCAGGCCCCCUCCACGGGGGCGGCGGGAUGACUGUGGAGCCCAUGGAAAUAAGCACCCUCUAUGAUUGUUGUAUUGUCGCCGUCUAGAGUAUUGUUUUGGACAACAAUACCAAUAAUCAUAACAAUCUGGGUUUCCUGCAGUUGGCAGAGGGGGGGUUAUGGGCUUCGACUUGGGUGUGGCCGUCCUGGCUGCGAUUUCUGAGGUGUGAAGGCCUGCGCAGGUCAUUAGCUCUCUCUGGGCCUCAGUUUCCUUGCCUGCAAAGUGGGAAUGGGGGCAUGGUGAGCACCGGAGGAGGCAAGCAAGAGCGCGUACCACGCAGGGCACGGCCGCUGCUCAGUCGGUUACCAAAGCCAGGGUCACCCAAGAGCACGACUUUAAGAGCCUCCCCAGACGGGGUGGGAAAACUCGGUGGACUAGGAGGGGGUGAUAACGCCUGUUGUGUUCUAGCCUCCGUUGUAAGGGCUUUAUGUACAACAACUCACUUCAUCCUUACCACGCCGCGUGCGUGCAUACUGCCACCCCUGUGUUACAGAUGAGAUGAAGACACCCAAGAGUGAUUUGCCCAAGGUCAGUGCAUCCGGCAGGUGCAGAGCCAGGCCGAACCCAGCCUGUCCCGCUCCAAAACCGGCUCUCUUCUUAGGGGCAUACGCUGCCCCGGGGGCAGGUCUGGCUGCAUAGGGUCUGCUUUGCUGCGUCACCGUGGACAAGCCCUUUCCUUCUCAGCCUCAGUUCUUGCUCUGCAAGCUGAACAGCCCACGGUACCUGCCUCCAGACAGCAUACAGCCCGCAGGGAAAGUCAUGGUCAGAUUUAGUGACCGUCUAGAGAAAGACAACGAAUGAACAUAUCAGGGGCUCUGGAAGCCACGGCUGCCGCUGCCGUAAUUAUUAUUAGUUUUAGAGCCACAGGCGAGAGUCAGGCUAGAGGAUGCUGAGGGCCCUGCCCAGCUCUGCAAAUCUAAAUCCUGUGGUUGCAGCUGGGGAGUGACUCUAGGAGGCACCUGGUGAGAGGUGGCUCUACCCGUUGGGGCUAAAAUAAUCCCUGAGGCUGCCACCAUGCAAUCUGCCACUCACCUGCUCUAAUUAAUGGCAAACUCACCAACCCUGCCUCUCUGCCUCACUCCCAUCCCCCACGAGCUGUGUGGCCCUGGAGAAAUCACUCGACCUCUCUGAGACAGGAAAAGGACAUGACCCUGCAGAAUUUUGAUGGAUUAGAGAUAAUGCAGACAGAGUACUCAGCACAGUGCCUGAUGUGUAGUUGAGAAGAGGUGAUGAGAACCUGAGUUUGGGGGCCGACCCGCGUUCCAUUCCCGGCUACACCAUUUCCUACUGUGUACCCUCGGGCAAGUUCCUUGCACUCUCUGAGCCUGGAAAAUGGGUUAGCACAGCACCCGGCAUACAGUAGUUGUUUACCUAACGAUUGUGGUUGGUGGUGACCGUGUCUUGCCCUCUAUAAAGAUGUCCAGAGGCCUUCAAAGAUCCCAGGGGUAUAAUGUUCUCCACAGUGCUGUGUUUCUCUGUUUGCCCCUCUAGAACUCCCCUCUGCCCUUCUCCAUCCUGUUCUGUGCCCUGGCAGGUGAACUCUGGGGUGCCAUCAAUGGCCUCUUUUGCCCUCUGGUUCUGGUUGGGUGGGGCAGGAAGGCAGAGGGCAGGUGGAGAAUGGGGCAUAGUGAUUCCCCCAGCCCCUUGCUACAGGGUCGCACGGGUUGGCUGUGUCCCUCACCCAAAGGCUCUGGCUCCUGGUAGGCGACCCCGUGCAUACAUCUCUGGCCCUGAGUCCGGGUCGCUUCUCCCUCUUCACCCUUCAGGCCAUGGGUGGUAACGGCCCCCCACUGUGGCCAGCCCUGGGAUACUGCACCAUCCCUCCCGGUCUCCCUGAAUCCUGCCUGCGACUUUGGUAAUAGUCUCUUGAUUAAACCCUCUUCAAACUUCUCAACUUGAGUGUACCGUCUGUUUCCUGCCAAGGCCCUGCUCAUGGUUUUAGUGUGACCUGUAUCCUGUUGUAUUCGUCAAGGACUCCAGGUAGAAUAGCAAAACUUCACCCUGCUUUCACAUGUACAUACGUAUCCACUUGAGUAACUUUGGCUGAGUAUCUGCUGUGUGCCAGGCCCCGUACAGGCAGCCGGGAGCAGAGAUAACCGAGCUAGAGCUCCUGACCCCAAGGAGUUCAUGGACUAGAUGGGGAGACAGACGCCUAAACAGACAACCACAAUAUUUGCUAAGAAGCCGUUAUAGAAGCGUGUUCAAACCCUGAGGCAAGAGAAACCCUCAAACUCUGAGGGAGGCUGGGAAGGCUGCAUAGCAGAGGGACCUCCUCAAAGGUAAAAAAAAAUUCUUAAUAACAUAUUUUAUCUAACCCAAUAUUUCAAGGUAUUAUCAAUGUAUAAUAUCACUUAAAAGUGAUACAAAAAUCCUUAAGAAUUUUAACAUUUUUUCCCCUAAGUCUUAAGCAGUCCAGUGCGUUUUUUACAUGCACGGCACGUCUCCGCUCGGCUGGUCCCCGUUUCAGGUGCUCAGGAGCCACAGGGGGCUGUUUCCCCCCACUUUACAGAUGAGGAAGCAGAGACUCAGGAGUUAAGUCACUUGUCCGAGGUCCCACUCCCCGAUGGGGGCAUGAUGUGAACCCACGUCUCCGUAGCUCCAAAGCCUGUCUCUUCCCGCUGCCCUGUUCUGUCUCUGGGCCAACCCCUGCUCCCCAGAGUGAAGACCUGGCCGAGGGCUAAAAAGUUAAAACUUCACCUGAGGUGAACUUCACCUCUGACCCCAAAUCCUGUAAUGUUUCUACAUCGGUUGAGUCCAUGGGACAGAGUGGGGGAGGGUAACCCACCAAACUGGGUUCUGACCCCUGUUCGGUCUAGGGUCCCUGGGAGGGCGUGAAGAUAGGCUGGCAGGAGAGAACUGGGGACGACUGGUGAGUUGUAAGAAUCUCUUGCCGGGGGAGCUGUUAAUGGCUGGAAGGCACGGCCUGCGUUGGACGGGGGGUCUGCAGAGGUCACAGACUAGGCUCACCAGACGGUAGCCAGCAGGUCAACUUGGCGUCUUCGCCUCCACCACCCUCAGCGGUUCCUCCCUAGGCAAAACGCCGUAUCAUCCAGAAACACCCACUCCUGAGUAUGUAGGGUCACAGUGAAUAAGUCACUGUCAUUUUCACACCGACGCGGGGGAAAUUUCGAUGGGAUGAUAAAGGUAAGGCCUUCUUCUUCUUUUUUUUUUGUAAUAUUUAUUUCUUUUUGAGAGACAGAGACAGAGCUUGAGUCGGGGAGAGGCAGAGAGAGAGGGAGACACAGAAUCCGAAGAAGGCUCCAGGCUCCGAGCUGUCAGCACAGGGCCCGACGCGGGACUCGAACCCACGAACUGUGAGAUCAUGACCUGAGCCCAAGUCAGGUGCUUAACCGACUGAGCCACCCGGGCAGCCCGACUCUAGGCCCCACUUCCCCAUCCAUACUCAGCAACACUGGAAGCCAGACGCUCUCAACCCCUUAGUGCCUGGCACGGCCCUGGGCCUGGGGAAGGGGACCUUCCCUGUUGCCACGGCACGCCUGCGCUGUCCCCACGGACAAUCAGAUUGGUAGAGCUUUCUCGUGCUCUUCCCAUCGUCCCACGGAAAACCCACCACAGUUCCGGAGGACUGGCGUCACCGCCCCUUUUUACAGAAAAGGGGGCUCGGAGCGGGGAAGGGGCCUGCCUAGAGUCACACAGCUCGAGUGCAGCGGAGCCAGCAUCCUGAGUCACCAUUCUGAACCUGAUCUGAGACACCAGGCGGCACCUCACGUAGCCUUGAAUGUUCUGGCCCCAGGCCGAUGUUGUGCCAUUGAAGGCAGGGGCUGCUGACAGGUAGGUUAGGCAGGGACGGGAACGUUGGGGGAAGGACCCUGAAAAGGAAACCCCGGAGAUUGUUUUCACCUGGAAGGGCUCCGCCCCGCCCAGCAAUGGAAAAUGUGUGUCAGAGGAAGCCGCUGGCUGGGGAUGGGACAGAUGGGGCGACUGUCCUAUGAAAGCUGUCCCCACGCCCUACCUCCCAGAUCCCCCUGGCCAAUUCGCUCUGCUCGGUAGUUACCGCAGCAAGCAUUUAUUGCGCUCCUGCUGCAUGCUCAGAUGCGGGGAUGCAGGAUGGCCUCUUCCCUGCCCAGAGAAGUGCACAACCUGGUGAAGACAGAAAUAUGACGAGACAGGGCCAUUGUGACAAGGUACCGCAAAGCCGGGGUUAAGACAACACCGACUUAUUCACUCUCUGUUCUGGAGGUUCGAGGAUUGAAAUCGAGGUACCAUCAGGGUCACCUUGUCGAAGACUCUGGGUAGAAACCUUCCUUGCCUCCACUAGCUUCUGGUGGCCAUCAGUCUGUGGCAUUCCGUGGUGGUCCCAUCUCUGCCUCUGUCAACAACAGUGUUCCCCUUGUGUGGUUCUCUCCUCUUCUUAGGAGGACACCGGUCAGAUUGGACUAAGGGCCAACCCCGCUCCAAUACGACCUCAUCUGAAGUAAUUACAUCUGCAGCAACCUUCUUCCCAAAUAAGGUCACAUGCUGGGGUGCUGAGAGUCGAGGCUUCAACAUAACUUUUGUGGGGACGUAACCCAGCCUAUAACAGAUGUCCUUAAAGUGCUUGUCAUAUAGAUAAAUGUCAAAUCUGGGGGGAAAAAAAUCCUAUGCACAUCUCACGUCACAGUUUGAGAUUUAGGAAAUCUGGCCUCGGCAUGUCUGUCCCCCACACUAAUCCUUUGCCCUAGUGAGUACUAAAUAAAUGUUUGGGAAAUACUUGA